rnacentral:rRNA from 1 species
UACGUAGGGGGCAAGCGUUGUUCGGAAUUACUGGGCGUAAAGAGUGUGUAGGUGGUGUCGUAAGUUUGGUGUGAAAUCUCCCGGCUUAACUGGGAGGGUGCGCCGAAGACUGCGAUGCUGGAGUAUGGGAGAGGAAAGCGGAAUUCCUGGUGUAGCGGUGAAAUGCGUAGAUAUCAGGAGGAACACCUGCGGUGUAGACGGCUUUCUGGACCAUUACUGACACUGAGACACGAAAGCGUGGGUAGCAAACAGG